rnacentral:rRNA from 1 species
UACGGAGGAUGCAAGCGUUAUCCGGAAUGAUUGGGCGUAAAGGGUCCGCAGGUGGCAGUGUAAGUCUGCUGUUAAAGAGUGAGGCUCAACCUCAUAAAGGCAGUGGAAACUACAUGGCUAGAGUGCGUUCGGGGCAGAGGGAAUUCCUGGUGUAGCGGUGAAAUGCGUAGAGAUCAGGAAGAACACCGGUGGCGAAAGCGCUCUGCUAGGCCGCAACUGACACUGAGGGACGAAAGCUAGGGGAGCGAAUGGG